UACGUAGGGUGCGAGCGUUGUCCGGAAUUAUUGGGCGUAAAGGGCUCGUAGGCGGUCUGUUGCGUCGGGCGUGAAAACUCAGGGCUUAACCCUGAGCCUGCUUCCGAUACGGGCAGACUGGAGGUAUGCAGGGGAGAACGGAAUUCCUGGUGUAGCGGUGAAAUGCGCAGAUAUCAGGAGGAACACCAAUAGCGAAGGCAGCUCGCUGGGACGGUACUGACGCUAAGGCGCGAAAGCGUGGGGAGCGAACAGG
rnacentral:rRNA from 1 species